CAGAAUGUAGCUUAACACAAAGCGUCUCGCUUACACCGAGACGAUGCCUGAUUACCCCAGGUCAUUCUGA
rnacentral:tRNA from 1 species